GUCAGGAUGAACGCUGGCGGCGUGCCUAACACAUGCAAGUCGAACGGGGUUAAGUGAAAUUUCGGAUGGACCUUAACUUAGUGGCGGACGGGUGAGUAACGCGUGGAUAACCUGCCUCACACUGGGGGAUAGCAGCUGGAAACGGCUGGUAAUACCGCAUAAGACCACGGCACCGCAUGGUGCAGGGGUAAAAGAUUUAUCGGUGUGAGAUGGAUCCGCGUCUGAUUAGCCAGUUGGCGGGGUAACGGCCCACCAAAGCGACGAUCAGUAGCCGGCCUGAGAGGGUGAACGGCCACAUUGGGACUGAGACACGGCCCAAACUCCUACGGGAGGCAGCAGUGGGGAAUAUUGCACAAUGGGCGCAAGCCUGAUGCAGCAACGCCGCCGUGAGUGAAGAAGUAUUUCGGUAUGUAAAGCUCUAUCGGCAGGGAAGAAAGGCCCGAAAGGGAGAUGACGGUACCUGACUAAGAAGCCCCGGCUAACUACGUGCCAGCAGCUGC
rnacentral:rRNA from 1 species